rnacentral:rRNA from 1 species
CCAAGGAGUCUAACAUGUACGCGAGUCAUUGGGACUUUACAAAGCCUAAAGGCGUAAUGAAAGUGAAGAUCGUCCUUAGCGUCGAUCGAGGGAGGAUAGUCGGCCUUUGGAGCUGGCUCGCACUCCCGGGGCGUCUCGUGCUCAUUACGAGCAGAGGCGCACCUAGAGCGUACACGUUGGGACCCGAAAGAUGGUGAACUAUGCCUGGUCAGGACGAAGUCAGGGGAAACCCUGAUGGAGGUCCGUAGCGAUUCUGACGUGCAAAUCGAUCGUCGGAACUGGGUAUAGGGGCGAAAGACUAAUCGAACCAUC